AUUGAACGCUAGCGGGAUGCCUUACACAUGCAAGUCGAACGGAGCGGCGAACGGGUGAGUAAUGUAUCGGAACCUGCCCAGUAGCGGGGGAUAACUUCCCGAAAGCGUCGCUAAUACCGCAUACUAUUAGAGCGGCCGAUAUCGGAUUAGCUAGUUGGUGGGGUAACGGCCAACCAAGGCGACGAUCCGUAGCUGGUCUGAGAGGACGACCAGUCACACGGGGACUGAGACACGGCCCAGACUCCUACGGGAGGCAGCAGUGGGGAAUAUUGGACAAUGGGCGAAACCCUGAUCCAGCCAUCCCGCGUGUGUGAUGAAGGUCUUCGGAUUGUAAAGCACUUUUGGCAGGAAGGCGGUACCUGCAGAAUAAGCACCGGCUAACUACGUGCCAGCAGCCGCGGUAAUUC
rnacentral:rRNA from 1 species